rnacentral:rRNA from 1 species
UAAGGAAUAUUGCGCAAUGGGGGAAACCCUGACGCAGCAACGCCGCGUGGAGGAUGACACUUUUCGGAGCGUAAACUCCUUUUAUCAGGAAAGAAUAAUGACGGUACCUGAUGAAUAAGCACCGGCUAACUCCGUGCCAGCAGCCGCGGUAAUACGGGGGGUGCAAGCGUUACUCGGAAUCACUGGGCGUAAAGGACGCGUAGGCGGAUUAUCAAGUCUUUUGUGAAAUCUAGUGGCUUAACCACUAAACUGCUUAGGAAACUGCUAGUCUAGAGUAGGGGAGAGGUAGAUGGAAUUCUUGGUGUAGGGGUAAAAUCCGUAGAGAUCAAGAAGAAUACCCAUUGCGACGGCGAUCUGCUGGAACCUAACUGACGCUGAGGCGUGAAAGCGUGGGUAGCAAACAGG